rnacentral:rRNA from 1 species
AUCUACGGCCACGCUACCUUGAAAGUGCCCGAUCUCAUCUGAUCUCAGAAGCUAAGCAGGGUCGGGCCUAGUUAGUACUUGGAUGGGAGACCACCUUGGACUACCAGGUGCUGUAGGAG